rnacentral:rRNA from 1 species
GACGAACGCUGGCGGCGUGCUUAACACAUGCAAGUCGAGCGGUAAGGCCCUUUCGGGGGUACACGAGCGGCGAACGGGUGAGUAACACGUGGGUGACCUGCCCUCAGCUCUGGGAUAAGCCUGGGAAACUGGGUCUAAUACCGGAUAUGACUCCAUGACGCAUGUUGUGGGGUGGAAAGCCUUGUGCGGCUGAGGAUGGGCCCGCGGCCUAUCAGCUUGUUGGUGGGGUGAUGGCCUACCAAGGCGACGACGGGUAGCCGGCCUGAGAGGGCGACCGGCCACACUGGGACUGAGACACGGCCCAGACUCCUACGGGAGGCAGCAGUGGGGAAUCUUGCGCAAUGGGCGAAAGCCUGACGCAGCGACGCCGCGUGAGGGAUGACGGCCUC